rnacentral:lncRNA from 1 species
GUCCCAGGUGAUUGGGGGGUCCCGGGGGGGUCCCAGGCUCCGGGAAACCCCCUGCUUCUUUUUGCCCUCAGUCAAAAUGGCGCCCGCCCUUGACUCCCAUUCACUCUUUGCCAUCACCAAAGAUGGCGCCGCGGCUUCAAUGCCCGCCCCUCAUGCCCGCCCCCCGCGCGGGGCACGCCGGGAGUGGGGAAUUCCCCGGCGCGUGAGGCGCGGGAAGCACCGGAGGUACCGGGGAGGCCCCGGGGGGGUUUUGGGGGUUUUUGGGGGUCCCGGGGGGUUUUUGGGGGUCCCGGGGGGGUCCCAGGCUCCAGUCCUGGCGCCCGCAGUGAAACCCCCUUGCUUCUUUUUGCCCUCAGUCAAAAUGGCGCCCGCCAUUGACCCCCAUUCACUCUUUGCCAUCACCAAAGAUGGCGCCGCGGCUUCAAUGCCCGCCCCUCAUGCCCGCCCCCCGCGCGGGGCACGCCGGGAGCGGGGAAUUCCCCGGCGCGUGAGGCGCGGGAAGCACCGGAGGGGUCCCCUCGCUGCCCCUCCCCCACCAUGGCCGAGGAUCUGGAGCCGCUCCUGGGGGGAGAAGGAUUCCUGGAUUUAUGGAACAUGCUCCCCAAUAGCAUCAAUUCCUUGCCCGAGGAUCUGCUGGAAUGGGUGAGUGAGGAGCCACCAAAAAUUGGGGUAAAAGCUCCAAAAAAUGAGCAAAAUUCCCAAAAAAAGCAUCCAAGGGAGUGGGGAACCCCAAAAGGGACCAGGGGGGUCCAAAAUUCCUCCUCAAAAUGGGAUUUUAAUCCCCAAAAAAACACCCAGACCCCCCUAAAUAACCCCAAAACCCCAAAAAUUGAAUUUUUCCUCAAAAAAAUCCCCCAAAAUAUGGAUUUCUCCCCCAAAAUCCCUCAAAAUUUGGAUUUCUCCUCCAAAAAAAUACUCCUAACACCGCAAAAAUGGGAUUUCCCCCCCAAAAUAUGCUCUCAAAUCCCCAAAAUAUUGUAUUUCUCCUCCAAAAAUAAUCCCAAAUAUCUCCAAAUCCCCCUAGAUAAUCCCAAAACUCCAAAAAUUGAACUUUUUCUCAAAAAAAAAUCACCUAAAAAUCCCCAAAAAUUGGAUUUUCCCCUCAAAAAUCCCCCCAAAAACUGGAUUUUCCCCUUCAAAAAUCCCCCCAAAAUUGGAUUUCUCCCCAAAAAAUCCCCAAAAUUUGUGUUUCUCCCCCAAACGAUGCUCCCAAAUCCCCCAAAAUUUGGAUUUCUCUCCCCAGAAUAA